rnacentral:rRNA from 1 species
GUGGCGGACGGGUGAGUAACGCGUAAAGAACUUGCCUUACAGACUGGGACAACAUUUGGAAACGAAUGCUAAUACCGGAUAUUAUGACUGAGUCGCAUGAUUUGGUUAUGAAAGCUAUAUGCGCUGUGAGAGAGCUUUGCGUCCCAUUAGUUAGUUGGUGAGGUAACGGCUCACCAAGACGAUGAUGGGUAGCCGGCCUGAGAGGGUGAACGGCCACAAGGGGACUGAGACACGGCCCUUACUCCUACGGGAGGCAGCAGUGGGGAAUAUUGGACAAUGGACCAAAAGUCUGAUCCAGCAAUUCUGUGUGCACGAUGAAGUUUUUCGGAAUGUAAAGUGCUUUCAGUUGGGAAGAAGUCAGUGACGGUACCAACAGAAGAAGCGACGGCUAAAUACGUGCCAGCAGCCGCGGUAAUACGUAUGUCGCAAGCGUUAUCCGGAUUUAUUGGGCGUAAAGCGCGUCUAGGCGGUUUAGUAAGUCUGAUGUGAAAAUGCGGGGCUCAACCCCGUAUUGCGUUGGAAACUGUUAAACUAGAGUACUGGAGAGGUAGGCGGAACUACAAGUGUAGAGGUGAAAUUCGUAGAUAUUUGUAGGAAUGCCGAUGGGGAAGCCAGCCUACUGGACAGAUACUGACGCUAAAGCGCGAAAGCGUGGGUAGCAAACAGGAUUAGAUACCCUGGUAGUCCACGCCGUAAACGAUGAUUACUAGGUGUUGGGGGUCGAACCUCAGCGCCCAAGCUAACGCGAUAAGUAAUCCGCCUGGGGAGUACGUACGCAAGUAUGAAACUCAAAAGGAAUUGACGGGGACCCGCACAAGCGGUGGAGCAUGUGGUUUAAUUCGACGCAACGCGAGGAACCUUACCAGCGUUUGACAUCCCAAGAAGUUAACAGAGAUGUUUUCCUGCCUCCUCCGAAGAACUUGGUGACAGGUGGUGCAUGGCUGUCGUCAGCUCGUGUCGUGAGAUGUUGGGUUAAGUCCCGCAACGAGCGCAACCCCUUUCGUAUGUUACCAUCAUUAAGUUGGGGACUCAUGCGAGACUGCCUGCGAUGAGCAGGAGGAAGGUGGGGAUGACGUCAAGUCAUCAUGCCCCUUAUACGCUGGGCUACACACGUGCUACAAUGGGUAGUACAGAGAGCUGCAAACCUGCGAGGGUAAGCUAAUCUCAUAAAACUAUUCUUAGUUCGGAUUGUACUCUGCAACUCGAGUACAUGAAGUUGGAAUCGCUAGUAAUCGCAAAUCAGCUAUGUUGCGGUGAAUACGUUCUCGGGUCUUGUACACACCGCCCGUCACACCACGAGAGUUGGUUGCACCUGAAGUAACCAGGCCUAACCCGUAAGGAGGGA